GGCGUGGUGGCGGGUGCCUGUAAUCCCAGUUACUCGGGAGGCUGAGGCAGGAGAAUUGCUUGAAUCCAGGAGGUGGAGGUUGCAGUGAGCUGAAAUCGUGCCACCGCGCUCCACCCUGGGCGAUAGAGCACGACUCCAUCUCUCAAAAACAAAAAGAAUGAGUUUAUGUCCUUUGCAGGGACAUGGAUGAAGCUGGAAACCGUCAUUCUCAGCAAACUAACAGAAGAACAGAAAACCAAACACCGCAUGUUCUCACUCAUAAGUGGGAGUUGAACAAUGAGAACACAUGGAUACAGGGAGGGGAACAUCACAGACGAGGGCCUGUCAGGGGAUAGGGAGCAUGGGGAAGGAGAGCAUAAGGACAAAUACCUAAUGCAUAUGGGGCUUAAAACCCAGAUGAUGGGCUGAUAGGUGCAGCAAACCACCAUGGCACAUAUGUAUCUAUUAACAAACCUGCACGUUCUGCACAUGUAUUGCAGAACUUAAAGUAAAAAUAAACAAAUAAAUAAAAUAAGAUCAUUAAAAAAGAGAGAGAGAGACGGGGGUCUAGCUAUGUUUCCCAGGCUGCUCUCAAACUCCUGGUCUCAAGCCAUCCUCCCACCUCGGCCCCUUAGUGGUGGAUUACAGGUGUGAGCCCAUAUUUUCAAUUAUUAAUAGCCUUUUAAGAGUUUUUCAUAAAGAAAGCCGGGUGCAGUGGUUAAACUUACAAAGUUAUAAACUGAGUCAAACCGCAGAAUCCCAGAAAGGCUACACAUAUAUAUAUACACACACACACACACAUAUAUAUACAUACACACACACAUAUAUACACAUAUAUAUAUAUGUAUAUAUAUACAUCCCUGAAGGUGGAUGUAUAGGUGUAACUGAAAAGAGAAGGGGCUGGGCACAGUGGCUCACACCUGUAAUCCCAGCACUUUGGGAGGCUGAGGUGGGCAGAACACUUGAGGCCAGGAGAUCGAGACCAGCCUAGCCAACAUGGCGAAACCUCGUCUCCUUAAAAAUACAAAAAUUAGCCAGUCGUGGUGGCUAGUGUCUGUGGUCCCAGAUAAUUGGGAGGCUGAGGCAUGAGAACUGCUUGAACCUGGGAGGUGGAGGCUGAAGUGAGCCAAGAUUGCGCCACUGUACUCCAGCCUAGGUGACAGAGUGAGACUGUUUCAAAAAAAAA